rnacentral:lncRNA from 1 species
UUAAUUUAUAAAUUUACAUUCAUUCACAAAAAGUUCUUAGGCUUAACUAGGCUGAUCUCACUGAGCCUAAUCAUAAAUGUCUUUGGAAAAAUUAUUAAUAUAGGGGAAUAUUCCAUAGUUUAUGUUAAUUUUCAAAAUAUGUAUUUUUAUUGACUAAUUGAGAUGAAUUACUGCCUAAGAAUAAUUCUUUGUAUGUGAAAAAUAAUCUGCUUAAAAUUUCUUUCUACAGAAUUCUAUAAAUCUGAAGACUAAACUUUAAAAUAAAAUCGUCAGAGGAAAGGAAUUGGUAGAAAUAAAACUGGAAACAUCCAGAAUCUUGAUGGUGUGCCAAACCAGAUGUCAACUGGAGCUCAACCAAAACCUAAAGUGCUCUCUGACAAACGAAGCAAAGAGAGAGCAGCUACUUGUGCUAUGCGAUCAGUGUCUCCUAUUCCCCAAACUCAGCUAAGAAUGAAAGAUGGAGCCAAGAUUCAGCAAAAUUGGCUCAUAAAUACAAAAACUAAUUUCCUCUUCUAGAAGGAUCAAAAG